rnacentral:rRNA from 1 species
UACGUAGGGUGCAAGCGUUAAUCGGAAUUACUGGGCGUAAAGCGUGCGCAGGCGGUGAUGUAAGACAGAUGUGAAAUCCCCGGGCUCAACCUGGGAACUGCAUUUGUGACUGCAUCGCUGGAGUGCGGCAGAGGGGGAUGGAAUUCCGCGUGUAGCAGUGAAAUGCGUAGAUAUGCGGAGGAACACCGAUGGCGAAGGCAAUCCCCUGGGCCUGCACUGACGCUCAUGCACGAAAAGCGUGGGGAGCAAACAGG